rnacentral:rRNA from 1 species
AUGGCUCAGGAUGAACGCUGGCGGCGUGCUUAACACAUGCAAGUCGAACGAUGAUCCCAGCUUGCUGGGGGAUUAGUGGCGAACGGGUGAGUAACACGUGAGUAACCUGCCCUUGACUCUGGGAUAAGCCUGGGAAACUGGGUCUAAUACCGGAUAUGACUCCUCAUCGCAUGGUGGGGGGUGGAAAGCUUUUGUGGUUUUGGAUGGACUCGCGGCCUAUCAGCUUGUUGGUGGGGUAAUGGCCUACCAAGGCGACGACGGGUAGCCGGCCUGAGAGGGUGACCGGCCACACUGGGACUGAGACACGGCCCAGACUCCUACGGGAGGCAGCAGUGGGGAAUAUUGCACAAUGGGCGCAAGCCUGAUGCAGCGACGCCGCGUGAGGGAUGACGGCCUUCGGGUUGUAAACCUCUUUCAGUAGGGAAGAAGCGUAAGUGACGGUACCUGCAGAAGAAGCGCCGGCUAACUACGUGCCAGCAGCCGCGGUAAUACGUAGGGCGCAAGCGUUAUCCGGAAUUAUUGGGCGUAAAGAGCUCGUAGGCGGUUUGUCGCGUCUGCUGUGAAAGACCGGGGCUCAACUCCGGUUCUGCAGUGGGUACGGGCAGACUAGAGUGCAGUAGGGGAGACUGGAAUUCCUGGUGUAGCGGUGAAAUGCGCAGAUAUCAGGAGGAACACCGAUGGCGAAGGCAGGUUCUUCUGGGCUGUAACUGACGCUGAGGAGCAAAGCAUGGGGAGCGA